AAAGUCGUAACAAGGUUUCCGUAGGUGAACCUGCGGAAGGAUCAUCGAAAAAAGGGAAGUGGGGAGUGGGUUUAAAAGCCCCUCACCAUUCUCGCGAAAAAACUGUAUUCACCCCAAGUUCCUGAAAAUUUUUAUAAAAACUCAAAAAGACCAUCGAUGAAAACGAUGGCGCCUAAUAAAAAGCGAAAACUUUCAACAACGGAUCUCUUGGCUCUC
rnacentral:misc_RNA from 1 species